rnacentral:pre_miRNA from 1 species
AAUAUACUCCCUCCGUCCGGAAAUACUUGUCAUCAAAAUGAAUAAAAGAGAAUGUAUCUAGACAUAUUUUAGUUCUAGAUACAUCUCUUUUUAUCCAUUUUGAUGACAAGUAUUUUCGGACGGAGGGAGUAAUUA